rnacentral:rRNA from 1 species
CCUACGGGCGGCAGCAGGGGGGAAUAUUGGGCAAUGGGCGCAAGCCUGACCCAGCAACGCCGCGGGAAGGAAGAAGGCUGUCGGGUGGUAAACUUCUUUUCUGAGGGACGAAGAAAGUGACGGUACCCCAGGAAUAAGCCACGGCUAACUACGGGCCAGCAGCCGCGGUAAUACGUAGGGGGCAAGCGUUAUCCGGAUUUAUUGGGUGUAAAGGGCGUGGAGGCGGGAAAGCAAGUCAGAUGUGAAAACUCAGGGCUCAACCCUGAGCCUGCAUUUGAAACUGUUUUUCUUGAGUGCUGGGGAGGCAAUCGGAAUUCCGUGUGUAGCGGUGAAAUGCGUAGAUAUACGGAGGAACACCAGUGGCGAAGGCGGAUUGCUGGACAGUAACUGACGCUGAGGCGCGAAAGCGUGGGGAGCAAACAGGAUUAGAUACCCUAGUAGUC